CAGAAGUAGCUUCUCGUCAGAUCCUACAAAGAAGACGAAAAACGAAGUAAGUAAAGAACAUCCCGAACUUCGUCAAUUUCAGAGUAACAAACACCUCCCAGACUUUACCGAAGCAUUGUAUGAAAUGACCCAGCUACCAAACGCUCACCACGAUCACAAACACGGCGGUACUCACCACCGACAUUCAGACCCUCAAUCUAGUCACAAAGCCAAGACUUCCCUAAGUACUCAUGGGCAUCCAACUAGUACUCAUCACGGAGAAGAGAGUUCACAUCAUCAUACAGGAAGAUGUAUAGAUUUGUUACUUUUUUCUGCAAUUUUUAUGAGCAUUUCAUAUUCUAGGAAUUAAUAAUAGAAUGACUCGUCGUGUACAGCGCACAAUCAGCGACGUACACUUGCCAGUACUACAAAUGAUGCUUCGAGAGCGUCCUCGUCCCUCGCCCAGCCACCUCCUGGUUUUGAUCCAGCUACACAAAGCCUUCAAGUCUUUAUGGAUCUCAAUAAGAUUCCAAAGAUGGGACCUUUUCUUCAUCAAAAUGAAGACCUUAUGCAAGAGUUCAUGCAACACUUAGAUCUUGCUUAUGUAAUAUUGAAGUGAUAGAUAAUAAAUAGCUCCAGUAAAGGUUGAGAGUUUUGGUUGUUGGCUAUAGCACUUUUUCAACUCCAGGCUGUAUCCCAAGAUAAGGAGCUGGCAAAAAGCAUAAUGGCAGAUAGAACGGUCUGGAAGAAUUUGCUUUCUUCAAAGGAGCAAGAGAACCGUAACCAGAGAAAGUCUAGAAAAUCUCUCGCAGUCCAACAACACCACCGUCAUUCCGGACCUUCCGCUGUAACGUCACAUGGUCACCAUGAACAUCGAACAUCGCGCGAUUCAGCUGGUCAUCGCCAUGAACAUCGAACAUCGCGCGAUUCAGCUGGUCAUCGACGUGAACAUCGGUCAUUUGCUGUCACAAAACAUGGCCAUAGAACUUCUGCAUUUCCAGGACAAAACCCUGAUAAGCAUAAUCAUGAUCCUUCAACAACAACUCGUCACCUAUCAAUUGCACCCAGUCGCAAUCUGCCAAUUCGGAACAGCCGUGUAUACGCUCCCAGUUCUCGCAGCUCGAUGUACAUGAAAUCCACGACAGAGAACACUUCGGUGGCGUCAACGACCACCAGGAGACUCAGCCUUGCUUAUCCCUACGACGGAGAAGGUGUGCUUCCACCCAAUGCUCCGGCUGCUUUGAAACAAAUGUCAAAUUCUGGCUAUUUAUACCUUCGGCGUCACAUAGAACCCAACGACAAAUUUCUGGUUUGUGGCAAAGUGUCAAACUAUUUUGAGAUUCUUGACACAAAUGGAAAGAAAAUGUAUCGUGCUUUAGAAGGUUCUGAAACCUAUUGUAACGCGAUUUGUCCAGCCUAUUCCAUCAGCAUUACGGAAAUCGAAGAUGGAGACGACAUGGACGAAGAUUUGGUCAUCAUGGAAAAAAGAUUUCACUAUUUUAGUGCUAAAAGGUACAUCAAAGUUUUCAGCCCGCCUGGAUCUUAUAUCGGAAAGGUUAAUCAAACUUGGAAGAGUGAGGAAAAGGCCACAUUUAUUUUGACAGAUAAAAUUGGGCAUGACAUGAUUAAAAUCAUGGUCUCGCAAUGCCCAUUUGAUAGGGAGAAACUAUCCGAGUUUAAGCUCUUUAGCAUUGACACAGACACGGCGAUUGGAGCCAUCAUUGGCAAGUACGUUGCGCCAUCGUCAAAUAAAUCACCUGGCGAAUAUCAUUACCAAGUUAAGUACCCGAAAGACUUGAAUUUACACAUCAAACUUUUAAUCACAGCAGCUUGGAUACUCAUAUACAAGCUAUAUUUUGACAAAGAAUUGAGAAAAGAGCUGAAGGAGUUCAUCAAAUGCAUAAAGAAGCAGAAGGAGAAGGAGGAAUAGGUGGAUAUGUAAUUUGUAGAAUAAUUGAUCGUUCCAGUUGUUUGUUUAAAUUGCGUGUAAUUAUAGUUUUUGUGACCUAAUAAUUAGAAUUAAUAAUAAAAAAGUGUAGACACUCAUGGAAAAAGUGGACGCUUGUCGUUUGUUCUUUGUUCAUAAUCUAAAAAAAAACAUUUCAGAGGGUCAAAAUGAGACGAUGAGAUCAAAGUCCCGCUCCCAGUUCAACCAUUGCCAGUCCCAAAAAAGUUGCAGCAGAAGAGAAAAAAAUUAUCCUUCCUCCGGUGGUCGGCUUUGUUCAAAAAAUUGGGAAAUUUAUUUAAAAAUCUUCCUCAAAAUGGCAUUUAGGGUCGCUCGUAUGGUGCUGCAGACGCCGAAGAAAUCUGCAACAUCCGUCUUUGCUCAGGCACGAAAAUCUCUUCACUCUGGUCGACCUUUGUCAGCACUGAGUUACAAAAGUGCGCUUCUCAACGCCCCACCUACUCGAGUCACAACGUUGGACAAUGGCGUAAGGGUGGCGACGGAGGACACUGGAGCACCCACAGCC